GGAAGGAUCAAUACAAAAAGGGGCCGGUGUGCGGUCGCGGGUUUCGGCGGCGGCACGGCCACAUAUGCGCGGGCCGCACGGUCCGUGACAUUGGCGCAUGUAGAGUGUGGCAGAGAGGAUGGCGACAAAACAACUUUUUAAACAACGGAUCUCUUGGCUCCUGCAGCGAUGAAGAACGCAGCAAAGUGCGAAAAAGUAAUGCGAUUUGCACGAAUCUGUGAGUCAUCGAGUCUUUGAACGCAACUUGCACUCUGUUUCGGCAGAGUAUGUCUGUCUGAGAACCACAGCACAUGCCGGCAGGGGGCGGCGAGGUGGGGGCAUGCGGGGCGACGCGCAUCCCUCCGAAAGACGGGACAGGCCGUCGGCGAGCGAGAACAGGGGACUGUUGGUCGCGGACGGUCGGCAGCAGCAGCGGGUCGGGGCGGCAGUCGGGCAGGGCGGCGGACUCGGGUCGGCCGUCGGCAUCCGGCCGUUCGGCGCGUUGCAGCAGCACGAGCGACACGGUCUCAGAUCAGGCAAGACGACCCGCUGAACUUAAGCAUAUCAGUAAGCGGAGGAAAAGAAACUAACAAGGAUCCCGCAGUAACGGCGAGUGAAGCGGGAACAGCUCAAAUUUGGAAUCUCAGCGGGCAGCCGCUGCGAAUUGUAGUCUGAGGCAGGCAACCAGACCGGGAGGCAGACCAAGUCCUCUGGAAAGGGGCGCCACAGAGGGUGAGAGCCCCGUUGGUCGGGCGGACCGGGGAGCGGGAGCCGGCACAAGAGUCGAGUUGUUUGGGAAUGCAGCUCAAAGGGGUGGUAAAAUCUCAUCCAAGGCUAAAUACAGGCAGGAGACCGAUAGCGAACAAGUACCGUGAGGGAAAGAUGAAAAGCACCUUGAAAGGGAGUUAACAGUGCGUGAAAUUGUUAAAAGGGAAGCGAUGGGCCCAGUGUUGGUCGGGGCAGGGGCGGCGGACUCCGGUCCGGCCGUCCGCACCCGGCCGAGUCGGCGGCGGCCGGGACCGUCGGACACGCGCAGCGGGAAGGUGGGGCUCCUCGGGGCCCGUUAAGACCGCGGACGCAGCGACGGCACCGGCCGAGCAGCGGCGGACGCAGGCGCAGAUUGGACCGGCAGGCCCCGGAUCGCAAAGCGUUCGGGGCAGAGCGGCACCACGACGCGCAGGUGUAGGCGCAGCAGCGGACAAAAUGGUCUCAAACGACCCGUCUUGAAACACGGACCAAGGAGUCCAACAACGGUGCGAGCAGCAGAGUGGCAAACUCGAGUGCACAGCGAAAGCAAAGUCUGCGAAUCCGCGGAGGCAGCAGAGACCGGCCCCAGAUACAGCUUGACGGGACCGCGUACGAGCACCGUUGUUGGGACCCGAAAGGCGGUGAACUAUGCCUGACUAGGGCGAAGCCAGAGGAAACUCUGGUGGAGGCUCGCAGCCGUUCUUGACGUGCAAAUCGAUGGUCAAAGUUGGGUAUAGGGGCGAAAGACUAAUCGAACCGCCUGGUAGCUGGUUCCCUC
rnacentral:misc_RNA from 1 species